rnacentral:rRNA from 1 species
AUACGUAGGUGGCAAGCGUUAUCCGGAAUUAUUGGGCGUAAAGAGGGAGCAGGCGGCAGCAAGGGUCUGUGGUGAAAGCCUGAAGCUUAACUUCAGUAAGCCAUAGAAACCAGGCAGCUAGAGUGCAGGAGAGGAUCGUGGAAUUCCAUGUGUAGCGGUGAAAUGCGGAGAUAUAUGGAGGAACACCAGUGGCGAAGGCGCCGAGCUGGCCAGCAACGCACGCGCACGCACGAAAGCGUAGGGAACAAAAAGAGUUAGACACCCUGUUAGUGCACGCCGUAAACGGUGAGUACUAAGUGUUGGAUGUCAAAGUUCAGUGCUGCAGUUAACGCAAUAAGUACUCCGCCUGAGUAGUACGGUCGCAAGAAUGAAACUCAAAUGAAUUGACGGGG